AGAUUAUCCUGUAGAUGAUCGCAGAAACGCCCGAGGUUCUAAAAUUGCCAUGCAGUAGUCUGGCCUCUAUCAGUAUCCACUUAAGUAGAAUCUAGAUUAUCUUCUCCUUGCAAAUCUUUUCUCCAAAAAUUAGAUCUAGAUCUGAUCUGCAAGAUCUUCAAAAGAUCUUCUGAAGCUGGAGUAGCAGCUUCUCGACAAAUCCCUGCAGCCUUCUAAUCAAGGAGCCACCACACCUUGGACAAGCACCAGAUGGAUGGCCAACCUCUUGGGCAUAAAGA
rnacentral:lncRNA from 1 species